UACAGAGACCUCAAGCGUUAUCCGGAAUCAUUGGGCGUAAAGCGUACCGAUAGGUGGCUUUACAAGUCAGAAGUGAAAUCUCAAAGCUCAACUUUGAGACUGUCUUUUGAAACUGUAAAGCUAGAGGGGCAAAGAGGAAGCUGGAACGAACGGUGUAGUAGUGAAAUGCGUUGAUAUCGUUCGGAACACCAAUAGCGUAGGCAAGCUUCUGGGUGCCACCUGACACUGCUAGGACGAAAGCGUGGGGAGCGAAUGGG
rnacentral:rRNA from 1 species